AGUGAACGCUGGCGGUAGGCCUAACACAUGCAAGUCGAACGGCAGCACAGUAAGAGCUUGCUCUUACGGGUGGCGAGUGGCGGACGGGUGAGGAAUACAUCGGAAUCUACUUUUUCGUGGGGGAUAACGUAGGGAAACUUACGCUAAUACCGCAUAUGACCUACGGGUGAAAGCUGGGGAUCUUCGGACCUUGCGCGAUUGAAUGAGCCGAUGUCGGAUUAGCUAGUUGGCGGGGUAAAGGCCCACCAAGGCGACGAUCCGUAGCUGGUCUGAGAGAAUGAUCAGCCACACUGGAACUGGGACACGGUCCAGACUCCUACGGGAGGCAGCAGUGGGGAAUAUUGGACAAUAGGCGCAAGCCUGAUCCAGCCAUACCGAGUGGGUGAAGAAGGCCUUCGGGUUGUAAAGCCCUUUUGUUGGGAAAGAAAAGCAGCAGGUUAAUACCCAGCUGUUCUGACGGUACCCAAAGAAUAAGCACCGGCUAACUUCGUG
rnacentral:rRNA from 1 species